CCAGACUCCUACGGGAGGCAGCAGUGAGGAAUAUUGGUCAAUGGGCGGAAGCCUGAACCAGCCAAGUCGCGUGAGGGAAUAAGGCCCUACGGGUCGUAAACCUCUUUUGCCGGGGAGCAAGGGCGGGGACGUGUCCCGGCCCGGAGAGUACCCGGAGAAAAAGCAUCGGCUAACUCCGUGCCAGCAGCCGCGGUAAUACGGAGGAUGCGAGCGUUAUCCGGAUUUAUUGGGUUUAAAGGGUGCGUAGGCGGGCUUUUAAGUCAGCGGUAAAAAUUCGGGGCUCAACCCCGUCCGGCCGUUGAAACUGGGGGCCUUGAGUGGGCGAGAAGAAGGCGGAAUGCGUGGUGUAGCGGUGAAAUGCAUAGAUAUUUGGAAGAACACCGAUGGCGAAGGCAGCCCCCUGGGACGCAACUGACGCUCAUACACGAAAGCGUGGGGAGCAAACAGGAUUAGAUACCCGCGUA
rnacentral:rRNA from 1 species